GAGUUUGAUCAUGGCUCAGAUUGAACGCUGGCGGCAGGCCUAACACAUGCAAGUCGAGCGGUAGAGAGAAGCUUGCUUCUCUUGAGAGCGGCGGACGGGUGAGUAAUGCCUAGGAAUCUGCCUGGUAGUGGGGGAUAACGCUCGGAAACGGACGCUAAUACCGCAUACGUCCUACGGGAGAAAGCAGGGGACCUUCGGGCCUUGCGCUAUCAGAUGAGCCUAGGUCGGAUUAGCUAGUUGGUGAGGUAAUGGCUCACCAAGGCGACGAUCCGUAACUGGUCUGAGAGGAUGAUCAGUCACACUGGAACUGAGACACGGUCCAGACUCCUACGGGAGGCAGCAGUGGGGAAUAUUGGACAAUGGGCGAAAGCCUGGUCCAGCCAUGCCGCGUGUGUGAAGAAGGUCUUCGGAUUGUAAAGCACUUUAAGUUGGGAGGAAGGGCAGUAAAUUAAUACUUUAGCUGUUUUGACGUUACCGACAGAAUAAGCACCGGCUAACUCUGUGCCAGCCGCC
rnacentral:rRNA from 1 species